rnacentral:miRNA from 1 species
AUGAGGUAGCAAAGCACACUUC